UCCGGCCGCGAUCCCGAGCCCUGGGUGGUCCGCAGACUUACUCCACUGCCUCCGCGGAACGUGGAGGGAAGGAAGGAAGGGGGUGAGGCGCCGAAUGUGCUUGAAUGCAGGGUGGAGCGCCACCAGGUACCCGGAGCCGCCGAGGUAAUCUGCCUUCGGUCUGGAGGUUCGCCAUCACUGGACAUCUCUAGACUCUAGAGAACUGGCCGUAGAUGGACGCGUGAGGCUGGAUGAG